rnacentral:misc_RNA from 1 species
UCUCCGUAGGUGAACCUGCGGAGGGAUCAUUACUGAGUUUUUAACUCCAAACCAUUGUGAACUUACCACUGUUGCCUCGGCGCAGACGCUCUACCGGCUUUGCCGGCCUGGGUGAAAGCGCCGGUGGACUACUAAACUAUUGUUAAUUUUGUCAAAUCUGAAUAAAAAACUUAAUAAGUUAAAACUUUCAACAACGGAUCUCUUGGUUCUGGCAUCGAUGAAGAACGCAGC